rnacentral:tRNA from 1 species
AAAAAGGUAGGUUAUUUUAAACUCCUGAAUUGUGGUUUCAGUAAUGUGUGGAUAUACACUCUUUUUC